GUGAAGUUCGCAUCCCUGUUGCAUGAAUCAAUUCUCUUCCACACACUGAGAGGAUACAACUGCCUUUAACCAAUAGGAGCAAGCAGUGCAUGUUGGCAAGAAAAAAUAACCAGGUUACCAGGUUUGAGCUGGAAUGACUAGAAGAAUUUGGAAAUUUAUUAAAGUGAAAUAGUGGACUCGAAAUAAAUUUAAAAAGUGGAAGAUGCCAGCGUGAAAAAUAAAUUGAUAAAAUAAAGUUUAAACAAGAUUGAGGACACUGUGCAAUGAUGACUUCAAGUGUAAGAAAGAAGAUUGAGGAAGAAUGGCCUUCAAGUCCGAGACUGGAAAGUGAUUCUGAAAAGAGAAUUUCAAGUCAUUAUUUCCUACUGGAGAAGCAGUGAGUCAUCUGAUUGGUCCACUUGAGAGCACAGUGACCUCUCAGAAACUAGCAAACGAUUAAAGACAAAGUUAUUCUAGGAGAGGAAAAAGAAUGAAACAUUGGAAAAUUUUCUCUGUCACAUGCCCCUUUGG